ensembl:lncRNA
UGGAGGAGGACAUCCAGGUUGACUUGCUGGCCUCGGGUGGUGGAAAGAGAAAGGGGCCUGUGACCUGACAGAUGCGGAUUGCCGGCUCUCACUCAGCUUUUGCAGAGCUGAGUUAACUGCGAGGCUGACACAACCAGGAAUGAUAUCCUUGUUCCCUUUAUUGCCUGCUGUUCCUGCAUCAUAAGUGGAGAAGAAAUGAAAAAGUGUUGCCAGAAACCUCUCUGCAUUCCUCCCACAGGCCCAGCUGGGUCUUUGCUUGUGGAACUAAGCUCUGCCCUACUUUCUGGCUGCCCUGCACGUUGCAUCCUCCACGUCAGGGACGUUCCUACCCUAGUGGCCACAGCUCCCCGACAGAGAUGCCGGAAGAUGCACAUUCCCAGCCUCGCUUGGCUUGGUGCAGGCCUGGGACUUGGGGCUCUACCAGUCAGACACGCCUGCUAGAGAUGUGUAAUCAGAGAAGGGCAGGACAAGAGGUGUGGAGGAGAAUGGACCUGGCCCUCAAGGAUGCAUUGGGAGGGGUCCCAGGAGAGCAAGCAGGCUCCCUUCUGGACAGCCCUGCCAGAAGACCUGGGCCUCGUUUCUGGCUGAAUAGCCCUCAGUCCUAACUCUGUGCCCACCCCGGGAUGACAAGUACUAACAGGUAUUAAGAAUGUUCAUUGGAAGGACUGAUGCUGAAGCUGAAGCUCCAAUACUUUGGCCACCUGAUGUAAAGAGCCAACUCAUUGGAAAAGACCCUGAUGCUGGGAAAGAUAGAAGGCAGGAGGAGAAGGGGGCAGCAGAAGAUGAGACAGUUGGAUAGCAUCACAACUCAGUGGACAUGAAUUUGAGCAAACUCCGGGAGAUGGUGGAAGACACAGCAGUCUGGUGUGCUGCAGUCCAUAGGGUCACGGCGUUAGACAUGACUUAGCAACUAAACAACAAGAACAAGAUUAUUCAUGUUCUUUGACUCCUAAAUCCCUCUUCUGGAAUUCUAAUCUGAGGAGAUAAUCACAAAUAGUGAAAGAUGCACCAAGAUGUUUGCAGUAGAAUUAUGUAGAGUCGUGAGGAAUCAGAAACUACCUAAACACCCUGUGACCAGGGAACGGGUUUAGUUAAUCAGGCAAUGAUCCUGAAAAGAAGCCAAGAACUGAUUGCUCCAGUGAAAUAUUAGUGGGACGCUCAGGGUUAAAUGUUAGUGGGGCGCUCAGGGUUAUGUACAUCCUUGAGUGGCCAAAGAAAACCAGAAAACAGGUGAAAGAAAAGCUUGUUUUUCUCUCUUACACAAAAGAAGUGUGGAGAUUUAGUCCAGGGCUGGUGGGGUGGCUUCAUACAUUCGUCAGGGAUUCUUUCUUCUAGACUUCUACCGUGGCCCAAGAUAGCCACUCAGUUCUGGCCACAACUCUGCAUUCCAGCCAGUGAGGAGGCUGGGAAAAAGCACAGGCACUCUCUCCAUAAGGACUUGGACAUUUUACCCCAUGAACUUGUCACAUGGACACACUUAGCUGCAAGAGAGACUGGGGAGAGACUUGCCUGGUGGUCCAGUGGUUUAGACUCCAAGCUUCUGAUGCAGAAGGCACAGGUUUGAUCCCUGAUUGGGGGACUAAUAUCCCACAUGCCACAUGGUAUAGCCAAAAAAAAAAAAAAAAAAGGCUGGGGAAUGUAGUUUUUUUUCUGGGUGGUCACUUGCCCAGCUAAAAUUUGAGAUCUUUAUUACUAAAGAAGAGGGAGAGAUCAGAGAAUUGGAGGGAAGCAUGGGUCUUUGCCACAAUAACAACAAUUAAAAUAACAUCCAAGAGGAUUCUGUGAUAACAUUUAAAAAUUGUACAGUUUAGGAAAAGCAAGAUUUGAAGUUGUGUGUAGAGUGUGAUUGCAACUGCACAACAAAAUUUCUAAACAGAGGAAGCCACUCGGAGGACAAAACUGUUGGAAAGUUAGCCUUUAUGGGGGGUCCUAUCAGAGAUGUCGUGUUUUCUUUUCUCUCUGUAUUUUCCAAAUGUCAGUAAUUGAGGAGACCUAAGUUCCUGAGAGAAUCUCUGUGCAGAUUAUAGAAUCUACUUGAGCUAUAGUUCAUGUCAUGCAAGUUUUUUCCUCGAAUGUGUCAAGGUGGCCAGACAGGGAAAGAAGAAAUGAAACAAUCUCGAGUCACAGACAACAUGAUUGUAAAUGGAGAGAAAGCCAAGGAACCCACAGAAAGUGGCUAGAAAAAGAGGGCCCUGGGACUUAUCACAGGUUCAAGUCACAGCUGUGCUGAAAUGCCAGCUCCGUGACCAGGGAUAAACCAGCCGCCUCCCUGUGUCUGCAUGAAGGAAGAAGAGCCUCCACCUCUGGGUGUGAUGAGGGCCCAGAGGAAGCAGCUCCCGCAGAGCGCAGCCUGCAGGCCUUGGCGUGGAGCAGGCUCUCCACCAGAUGCUCUUGGGCAAUUCUGUCCUCCUAGGGGACAUGCGGCAGUGUCGGGAGACCUUUACCACUGGAGCAGAGAAGAAGCUACCGGCAUCUAGUGGACGAAGGCCAGGGAUGCUGUUAGCAUCCUGCAAUGCACAGAGCAGAUUCCCUCCGCAGGGACUGUGCUGUGUGCUGUGCUCAGUCGCCCAGUGGAGUCCGACUCUUUGCGACCCCAUGGACGGCAGUCCACCUGGCCCCUCUGUCCAUGGAUUUCCCAGGCAAGAAUACUGGAGUGGGUAGCCAGUCCCUUCUCCAAGGAUCUUCCCGAUCCAAGGAUUGAAUCUGGGUCUCAGGCAUUACAGGCAGCUUCUUUACCAUCUGAGCCACCAGGGAAGCCCCUAGAGAGACUAUCCAGCCCCAGAUGUCAUUGGUUCUGAAUUGAGAAGCGUUGCUCUCAGCACACCCCAGCUGUUACCACCGUGGGGCUUGUUUCCUGGCUUUUGCCGUCAUGAACCGCGCAGUUGUGGUCAGCGGGGUCACACGCCAGUGGACAUGUGUUCUGAGUGUAGAGUCGCUACAGCAGCCCUGCUCUGCCCUUUCCGAGCCUCCUGAAUGCCCCCAAGACGUCUCCUUCCUCUUAUCUUGGGCUCUACACUAUGGGUUUGGAAUGUGUCUGUGCCCAGGGGAGCAGAGAGAAGGGACAGGACGGCCGACAGCCCCCCACGCAGUGAGGAAACCUGUGGCUAUGGUUUUUCCUGUGCAGGGCGGUUUCUGCCCUGAGCUUCCUACCCUGUGGCUCUGCUCCGCUCCUUGCCUCCACCCAAAACCCCCUGAGGCAGGCGCUGCCAUCGCCUCCACGCCUCCAUGUCAGAGAAGGGGAAACAGGCUGCGAGGCAGAACAGGAGACGGCAGCCGGCCCCAAAGGCGGCUCGCUGCCCCCAGACCUGGCUGGUAUGGCCCCUGGGUCCUUGUCCCGACUGCACGUCAGAACCACCUGGGGACUGAAAACCCCCGGGUCCUGUGUGGCCCCAGUGACCCGAUCAGGUCAGGCUUGGGUUUUGGAAUCGAGCUGAUCUUACCUGGAUUCUUGGCUCCUUCACUUUCUGGCUAUGUGACCUGAGGUCAGUGACUUCACCUCUCUGAGCCUCAGGUUUGUGCUCUGAAAAAAAGGGUAGUGUUAGCUGCCCGCUCGGAGGUUGACCACGAGGAUUCAGCGAAAUGCCCCAUGUAGGCAUGUGUGAGUGUGUGUGUGUGUGAGUGUGUGUGUGAGUGUGUGUGUGUGUGUGUGUGUGUGUGUGUGUGUGUGUUUAAGCUUUUAAUUAAUUCUGUUGUGCCUGGCUAGUUACCUACCAAUUCAUGCAUUAUCCAUCCAAUCAUCUAUCCAUCCAUCCAGUCAUCUAUCCACUCAUUUAUCCAACACAUUUAUUUGACACAAACUGUGCGCCUGGCUGGGCUUCAGUCCCUGAGGACACAGAAGUUCCCCUCAUGAAACUGACAAUAGCAGCGUUGAGAGAACAGAGUGGAAAAUAAAUGAAUAAAUAUGUUGCAUAGAGUCCCAUGUAAACAGCAUGGGACGGAACUCCUCUUCCGGAUGGGGUGAGACACCCAUGUCUUCCGUCUGCCUUUCCAGACCCCCUUCCCCC